rnacentral:rRNA from 1 species
AUUGAACGCUGGCGGAAUGCUUUACACAUGCAAGUCGAACGGCAGCACGGACUUCGGUCUGGUGGCGAGUGGCGAACGGGUGAGUAAUGUAUCGGAACGUGCCCAGUCGUGGGGGAUAACGUAGUGAAAAUUACGCUAAUACCGCAUACGAGCUAUGGAUGAAAGCGGGGGAUCGCAAGACCUCGCGCGAUUGGAGCGGCCGAUAACAGAUUAGGUAGUUGGUGGGGUAAAGGCCCACCAAGCCAACGAUCUGUAGCUGGUCUGAGAGGACGACCAGCCACACUGGAACUGAGACACGGUCCAGACUCCUACGGGAGGCAGCAGUGGGGAAUUUUGGACAAUGGGCGAAAGCCUGAUCCAGCCAUUCCGCGUGCAGGAUGAAGGCCCUCGGGUUGUGAACUGCUUUUGUACAGAACGAAAAGGUUUCUACUAAUACUAGGAGCUCAUGACGGUACUGUAAGAAUAAGCACCGGCUAACUACGUGCCAGCCGCCGCCGUAA